rnacentral:misc_RNA from 1 species
CGGGCACACAAAACGGGUCGUUUUUCUCAUCUACUCUGUGCUGGGAUCCCCCGGUGGCGGUUUUUUCUCCCCAGAAACUCAGGAAAGCCGAAAUAGAAGAGUGUCCACGAAGCCGUUGCUGCUGCUUUACAGGCCCCACCGGUUGGGUGAAAGGGGGAUUGAUAGAAGUGAACAAUGCUAAUUCGGCUUAGCAAGCAAUCUUCAGAAAGCGGUGGAGGCGUGGUGAAGCCCUUGCCAGUGGAUACUGUGACAGUUGCAUGCCCUGAACACCUGGUACUUGCUGAUCUCCCUGUAGCAAAGGGCAUGGGAGCAGCUACUGCUGCUACUGUUGUCAAGACUGUUGGUCGCAGGUCCAGACGCCAGCUUGGUGAACGGGUCCAUUUCUGUGUCCGCUGUGAUUUCCCAAUUGCUGUAUAUGGACGCCUGAUCCCCUGCGAGCAUGCCUUCUGCCUCGAUUGUGCCAGGAGUGAUUCAAUCUGCUAUCUUUGUGAUGAACGUAUCCAGAAGAUUCAGAC